rnacentral:rRNA from 1 species
UACGUAGGGUGCGAGCGUUGUCCGGAAUUAUUGGGCGUAAAGAGCUCGUAGGCGGUCUGUCGCGUCGAAUGUGAAAACCCGGGGCUCAACUCCGGGCUUGCAUUCGAUACGGGCAGGCUAGAGUUCGGUAGGGGAGUCUGGAAUUCCUGGUGUAGCGGUGAAAUGCGCAGAUAUCAGGAGGAACACCGGUGGCGAAGGCGGUUCUCUGGGCCUGUACUGACGCUGAGGAACGAAAGCGUGGGGAGCAAACAGG